GUGGGAGGAUAGUUGUUCUCUCAGUCCUUGUACUUCUUCUCUACCCCUUUCUGUAGGUUUGGACUGUGAUAGGAACAUUGUGGUUUAACAGUGCAAGGAGCUGUUUGCCAGACGAAGGACAAAAAUGGGGCUUCCUGAUAUGGCUGCUUUUCAGUUACUGUGGACUCGCUUGUAUUGCAUGUGUGGCUGUUGGAAAGUGGCUAAACCGAAGGCAUGCUCUCCAACUGAGGGCACAACAGGGGAUUCCGGUCUCUGAAUACGGGGUAAUGUUUCCAUUUAUUUCU